UACGAAGGGGGCUAGCGUUGCUCGGAAUCACUGGGCGUAAAGCGCACGUAGGCGGAUUGUUAAGUCAGGGGUGAAAUCCUGGAGCUCAACUCCAGAACUGCCUUUGAUACUGGCGAUCUUGAGUCCGGGAGAGGUGAGUGGAACUCCGAGUGUAGAGGUGAAAUUCGUAGAUAUUCGGAAGAACACCAGUGGCGAAGGCGACUCUUUGGUCUGUAACUGACGCUGAGGCGCGAAAGCGUGGGGAGCAAACAGG
rnacentral:rRNA from 1 species